rnacentral:rRNA from 1 species
GGCGACGGGUGAGUAACACGUGGGCAAUCUGCCCUUCACUCUGGGACAAGCCCUGGAAACGGGGUCUAAUACCGGAUAACACUCCUGCCUGCAUGGGCGGGGGUUAAAAGCUCCGGCGGUGAAGGAUGAGCCCGCGGCCUAUCAGCUUGUUGGUGGGGUAAUGGCCCACCAAGGCGACGACGGGUAGCCGGCCUGAGAGGGCGACCGGCCACACUGGGACUGAGACACGGCCCAGACUCCUACGGGAGGCAGCAGUGGGGAAUAUUGCACAAUGGGCGAAAGCCUGAUGCAGCGACGCCGCGUGAGGGAUGACGGCCUUCGGGUUGUAAACCUCUUUCAGCAGGGAAGAAGCGAAAGUGACGGUACCUGCAGAAGAAGCGCCGGCUAACUACGUGCCAGCAGCCGCGGUAAUACGUAGGGCGCAAGCGUUGUCCGGAAUUAUUGGGCGUAAAGAGCUCGUAGGCGGCUUGUCACGUCGGAUGUGAAAGCCCGAGGCUUAACCUCGGGUCUGCAUUCGAUACGGGCUAGCUAGAGUGUGGUAGGGGAGAUCGGAAUUCCUGGUGUAGCGGUGAAAUGCGCAGAUAUCAGGAGGAACACCGGUGGCGAAGGCGGAUCUCUGGGCCAUUACUGACGCUGAGGAGCGAAAGCGUGGGGAGCGAACAGGAUUAGAUACCCUGGUAGUCCACGCCGUAAACGUUGGGAACUAGGUGUUGGCGACAUUCCACGUCGUCGGUGCCGCAGCUAACGCAUUAAGUUCCCCGCCUGGGGAGUACGGCCGCAAGGCUAAAACUCAAAGGAAUUG